UUUGUUAUUUUGAAUGAGACUUGUUUAAACGACCAACAGUGUAUUCAGAUUUCGACGAGGGAAAUGUAAACUUGGCGCAAACAGAGGAAAGUGCAUGACGUAUCAGUCUUGGAAUGAUGGCUAUUAAUCAUGGCUAUGUGCUAGAUAUUCCAGUUAACAUUAGACACAGCUACUAAACUAAAGCACCAAAGCUAGCUAGCUACCUAGCUAUAUAUAUAUUAGCCGAAGUAGUGGACCAGAAGAUGGAGUGUGUGAUGUUGUGUUUAAUUAUUCCAUACCACUGUGUGGUUAAUAGAUAAAGGUGCUAAAAGGUGCAGUUGUUCCAUUUUCAUCUGGUCUGCAUAUUUAUACUCUGUCAAAUAUUUUGCAAGCUUUAAGAGUGUUUGUCAAAGUUUUAUAGUUACCAACUUAGUGUUUUACAGUGGUUCCUGUGGACUUUCUUUUUACAUUUCCUUAAAUUUGAAAUAUCUUUUCAGCUAUUACGUUAUUUUCUCUGGCUG